rnacentral:rRNA from 1 species
UACAGAGGGUGCGAGCGUUAAUCGGAAUUACUGGGCGUAAAGCGUGCGUAGACGGUUAUUUAAGUCGGGUGUGAAAGCCCCGGGCUCAACCUGGGAAUUGCAUUCGAGACUGAAUAGCUAGGGUACGGUAGAGGGAAGUGGAAUUUCCGGUGUAGCGGUGAAAUGCGUAGAUAUCGGAAGGAACAUCAGUGGCGAAAGCGACUCCCUGGACCAGUACCGACGUUCAGGCACGAAAGCGUGGGGAGCAAACAGG